AUCUUCGCACGGUUCUUCCCUUGGCUUUAGAGCCCCGAAGCGCUCUUUGACUUGAGCUGCUUUGCAUUCUCUCUGUCCUGCCAUCGAGAAAGUUCUGAGCGGCUCAGAAGUAAUACUGACACUAUCAACGGAGGGGGACUGCAGUUUCGCUGGUGGCCCCACAGCCCCCUGCCUCCAGCCAGGGGACAAAGAACAGGAGGGAUCCAGAGGGCUGCCUGCACCUGCACCUCCCGCUCCUGCUGUGCCCUGAUCCCAUGUGCUGGGUGAACUGGGUUCUUCCGAGCCCUCCAGCCCUGGAUGCUAACCCCAGAGCUGCAAGCUAUCCCUCCGAGGAAUUCUGCCCCAGACAGCAGAGAGAUGGGGGGCAGGGGACACAUGGCCAUGAGGACAGAGAGCCCUGAGAGGGACUGGGGAAUCGAGACAUCGUUUUCAAAUAAUUGCAGCAAUCAAGAGAGACUGUACAUCCCAUCCCAGACAAAGGGAGACCUAAAAUGAGAGAAUGGAGCUGGGCGCAGUGGUUCACGCCUGUAAUCCCUGCACUUUGGGAGGCCGAGGCAGGCAAAUCACCUGAGGUCAGGAGUUCCAGACCGGCUGGGCAACAUGGUGAAACCCUGUCUCUACUAAAAAUAUGAAAAAAAGUUAGCCAGGCGUCCGCGUGCCUGUAAUUCCAGCUACUCAGGAGACUGAGGCAGGAGAAUCGCUUGAACCUGGGAGGCAGAGGUUGCAGUGAGCCGAGAUCACGCCACUGCACUCCAGCCUGGGCGAUAAGAGUGAAACUCUGUCUCAAAAUAAAUAAAUAAAUAAAUAAAUAAAUAAUCUUAAAAAAAAUAAAAAGAAAACUAGAGAAUGAUGA